UACAGAGGGUGCGAGCGUUGUUCGGAAUUACUGGGCGUAAAGCGCGCGUAGGUGGUGUGUUAAGUCUGCCGGUCAAAUGCCGAGGCUCAACCUCGUUGCACGCCGGGGAUACUGGCUCGCUAGAGACAAGUAGAGGCAAGCGGAAUUCCGGGUGUAGCGGUGGAAUGCGUAGAGAUCCGGAAGAACACCGGAGGCGAAGGCGGCUUGCUGGGCUUGGUCUGACGCUGAGGCGCGAAAGCGUGGGGAGCGAACAGG
rnacentral:rRNA from 1 species